AACGUGUUGUUUCUAAAGGAACAGGAGGAUGUGUGAAUGAAAUCUAAGUUCUAGAUUAAGAAGAAACCAUCAAAAUCUAAGAUCUAGUAGUUUACAGUUGAUUUUUCUUACAACUAAUUUUCUUGCUGAUAAAAUGAUGAAGGAAUCCAAGUUCACUUCUGGUUCUGUAUUAGCCAAUCAGAUGCAUAAUGGGUUCUGUAUUAGCCAAUCAGAUGCAUAAUGGGUUCUGUAUUAGCCAAUCAGAUGUUGUGCAGGAAAAACUCGGCUCCAACAUGCAAUGGCCCAGCUGCAAUUUCUUCGUGGGUUGGGCGAUUUCUGGAUAAACUCGACACUGAUGUUCCUCCAUCAGUUGCUGGCCUGUUCACCGAAUUCCUUAUUCUUUACACUAAAUAUUUAGAGGGUCAUGGUCUACUCAUUGACUCUUAUGCUGCUGAGAGGGUUGAUGUCUCUACCCAGGCUUCUACUUUGACUACACAGGCUACGCAGUCUCCUACCAUCUCGUCCUCAUCCAAAAGCACACAAGCUACUCAAGUUCCAUGGCGUGUUAACAGAAGAACUCAACAUCCUAAUCUAUGUGUUGUUAAACCUUAUUACAUGAAGAAUAAAUGAUUUUGAUUCAUUAUACUUUAAAAAACUUCAGCCUUA